rnacentral:lncRNA from 1 species
CGGCACUCAGUUAUAAAGGAAGUGGGAGGGGCCCAAUUCCCGCCAAAUAAUCUUGGAGUCCAGUAGCAGGGUGAUCACGUGAUGGCUUCGGAACAGCAAAGCUGCAGGUUCCAGCAGUGGGCGUGGCAGAACGAUUGAGCUGGCAAGCUCCACCCCUGAGCAAGCAGGUUUCAGACUGGGGGAGGGGAGACUACAAGUGUGGGCACUGGGCAGACUCACUUAUCAGAAACAUCAAGGACAGACUGCAAUUGGUAAGGUGCAUCAGGGUGACAGAAGGACAGUGUGCAACUUUGGACUACAAGGAUUUGGGUUACAGUGUUUCAAAGUCUUACAUUGAGACUCUUGAUGCAUUUGCAGCUUCCUGGUGUGUGGGGUGAGAAGAUGGGGAUCUAGUUUAACGUUCUACAUGUAGACACACUCUGUCUGUUGAAGAUGCUAUCAUCGUCCUACAAAAUCUCUCCUCCCCUGCCUUUGAUGAAGUUGCUACCACAUGGGGUAUGCCCAUCUGCAGGACAUGGAGGAAGGACCCCAGCCAGUAAUCAGCAAGCGUGUGACCGACAGCCUCAACCAAAAUCCCGCCAGAAUUCCAUGAGACAACCUGGAAAUGGGCUGUUCCCCAAUCAAGCCUUUCAAUACAGGCUUGUCAAAGACCCCCAAAGCAGAGAAUGCAAGGUUCAGAGACCGAGACAAUAAGUUAGGUUCUUAACCAAUAAAUUUAAGGUACCCAUAACACCAGUAGAUGAUGUUUAAUACAUGCCAGGAUCAUUGUGGCUCUGGAUGGGAGGUGUAAGGAGGGUAGAAAGAGAUCCAUCCAUCCUCAAAGAAACAAAUACAGAAUCUAGCAGCAGCCCACAGGGACAGUCUCCAUGUUGAAAGGACCCUCCACCCCCCACACACUGCUACAGUUAAACUAUAGUAUUUUUGUGCCACAAAGUCCACUAUGUCAUGAGCUGAUGGAUGGAGGAGGUCGUGACGGUGAGAGAAUGGCUUCCCUCCCAUUGUUCUCUUCUCCUCUUUCCAGUCCUGACUUUUUGAUUCUUCUCUUUUUCUUUAUUCUCAAAUGCAGGGUGGCCAUGCAGGCCAUCUCUACAGGUGAUUGCUGAAGGGCUUUUGUUCUGUGGAUUCAGGAAGCCAGCAUCCUGGGGAGUUUUCUGGGGCAGGGAGGCUCUUCUUUUCCAUCUGAGUGCCCAUAUGUGUAAAGAUACCUCAUUUUCAAGUUAGGAAUAGUGUCACUGUCAGAGAGAGCAACAUGGCUCCAUAUACAAUAGUUUCUGGAGCCUGAGCCAGUCCCAAAGCAGUGCUAAUCUAUGGACACACACUUCACACAGUGACUACAUAGGUCUAUAGACACACCACACACACACACACACACACACACACACACACACAGCAACUACUUAGGUCUACACACACACACACACACACACACACACACACACACACCACACAGCAACUACUCAGGUCUACAGACACACAACUCUCACAGUGACUACUCAGGUCUACAGACACACACACAUAACUCACACAGUGACUACUCAGGUCUACACACACACACCUCACAUAGUGACUACUCAGGUCUAUAGGCACACACACACACAGUGACUACUCAGGUCUAUAGGCACACACACACACAGUGACUACUCAGGUUUACACACAGACACACACCUCACACAGUGACUAUGCACUCAAGUCAGUAUAUAAGAAUGGAAGCAUCAGGAAAAACCUUCUUAGCUCUGAGCCCUUUCAGCUGCAGUUUCUGUCUUUUUUAUGUCUGUGAAGGGCAGAUAAAGAGGGCCUGUCAGAUGCAACCCUUUCCCACUAGUGUAAGACUGGAGAGCAGGGCCAUCACCACACCCUUCGUGAGGGACAGAGUGAUGGCUCUUGUGAACAAGUGACUUUCAAUCCUCAUAAAGGUAAUGAGAUCUGAGCGGAAACUUUGUCUCCAUCAUUGAUCCAGAGUUUUGCCUUCCUGCAUGCCGCAGGGGACGUCUGUCUUCACUGUACCAAAGAUGCCCAGCUGUGAGGGAGGCCCUGUGAGUGCGUAAGGGAACAACAGGUUCAUGUGCUGGGUUCUGUAGGUUUUUCCUCACCUGAAACUGUCUGAAGCUGGAGAACGGUCUUGGAGAACUAGUGCUGCUGCUUUUACAGAGGUCCCCAGAGCUUCAAAGCCACCUGCAAGUCCAGCUCAAAGGGGCCUGGCACCCCCUCUUCUGGCCUCAGAACAACCCAUAAAUACACACAUAUACACACG